rnacentral:rRNA from 1 species
GAUGAACGCUGGCGGCGUGCCUAAUACAUGCAAGUCGAGCGAACAGAUAAGGAGCUUGCUCCUUUGACGUUAGCGGCGGACGGGUGAGUAACACGUGGGUAACCUACCUAUAAGACUGGAAUAACUCCGGGAAACCGGGGCUAAUGCCGGAUAACAUUUAGAACCGCAUGGUUCUAAAGUGAAAGAUGGUUUUGCUAUCACUUAUAGAUGGACCCGCGCCGUAUUAGCUAGUUGGUAAGGUAACGGCUUACCAAGGCAACGAUACGUAGCCGACCUGAGAGGGUGAUCGGCCACACUGGAACUGAGACACGGUCCAGACUCCGACGGGAGGCAGCAGUAGGGAAUCUUCCGCAAUGGGCGAAAGCCUGACGGAGCAACGCCGCGUGAGUGAUGAAGGUCUUCGGAUCGUAAAACUCUGUUAUUAGGGAAGAACAAAUGUGUAAGUAACUGUGCACGUCUUGACGGUACCUAAUCAGAAAGCCACGGCUAACUACGUG